UUUCCAGCCGCCGCGGUAAGACAGAGGGGGCAAGCGUUGCUCGGAAUUACUGGGCGUAAAGGGCGCGUAGGCGGGAUGGUAAGUCGGUCGUGAAAUCCCUCGGCUCAACCGAGGAACGUCGAUCGAUACUACCGUUCUUGAGGAUUGCAGAGGAGACUGGAAUUCCCGGUGUAGCGGUGAAAUGUGUAGAGAUCGGGAGGAACACCGGUGGCGAAGGCGGGUCUCUGGGCAAUUCCUGACGCUGAGGCGCGAAAGCGUGGGGAGCAAACGGGAUUAGAUACCCCAGUAGUCC
rnacentral:rRNA from 1 species